rnacentral:sRNA from 1 species
GUGGAGAUUCUGUCUAAGAGAGGUUUUUUUAUGUAUAUGGAUGCCGUAGUUUUUUCCGGGCUGGCCGUCGUUGGGCUGAUGGUGGCGUUCUUUGGUGGUGUUGUGUAUUUCCUGCGUAAGGACGCUAAACAGCAUUCCCACGAAAAGUAAUCAACUGUUUG